AGACCACGAACCCACCAGAAGGAAGAAACUCUGAACACAUCUGAACGUCAGAAGGAGCAAACUCCAGACGUGCCACCUUAAGAGCUGUAACACUCACUGCGAGGGUCCGCAGCUUCAUUCUUGAAGUCAGUGAGACCAAGUUCCGGACACAUUCUCAGGGCCAAAAUGGCUGACUAGAAGCAGCUACAGUGUGUAGCUCUCAGGGAGAGGAAGGAAAGGGAAGAGUAAAUACAGCACCUUCAACUGAAAUAUCCAGGUAUUCACAUUGGGACUGACCAGGGAAACAGCUGGACCCACAGAGAACGAAGAAAAGCAGGGCAGGGUGAUGGCCUGCACGAGAGUGACACGGAGCCAAGGGAACCUCCCCCUCCCAGGGAAGUGGGGCAUGAAAGGUUCAAAUAGAAAAGCAGCAUGGUGAUGGGGCUGACUGUUCCAGAAUUGAUGUGCCCGUGCUCCGUGAGGAACGCAGCUCAUCUGUACCAGCAAAUGUGUUGGCUCCUGCCUGCAAUUGUAUCAUUCAGGUGUGCAUUGUAAAAACAAUUCACGGAUAAGCACAGGGGAUUUCACUGUUUUCUGCUAUCUGGAUUUUCCCAAAGAUCCGCUAAAUCCUAAACUUCAUCUUGGUCUGAAGAAGGGCAAGUCCUCUCUCCAGCUCUUCAUUUGCUGACUCUCACUGAUGCAAGAAGAAUGAAGUCUCUUACCUGCCUUCUCCUAGGACAUCCUGGGAGAAACUGUGACUGCUGGUGUGUUCUCAAAACUCACCAACAUGAUUCUCCUUGUGGCUAUAUGACUCUAGAAAGGGAAUUUAAAUAAAAUGAUAACAAUUAACAGAUACUUUUAUGUAAACAACCGGUAGUGACCACUAUACUAGUUGGUUUGUAUUUACCAAAUUCCAUGUCUGAGGCCAAGAAUUUAUCUCUAAAUCCUCUGGGAUAAAAAUCCAGCAUCUCAUCUUUUUUUCUGCCAGCUGUAAAAACAUUGCAGGAAGGUACUGAGUACUUUUUGUUGUUGUUUUCUCCUUUCUUUGAAUCUUUGGCUUUGACAAGCAUGGAAUGAAAAUCAUAUAGAGCAUGGAGCUUAUAGCAAAGGAGAAUGUAGAGGCAAAGAGAAUAAAAAUGCUGGGAUAAUUUCUUGAAAAAUUACUUAGA
rnacentral:lncRNA from 10 species